rnacentral:rRNA from 1 species
AUGACGAACAGCGCCGUCAAACUCGACUUGCUCCGCGCCAAUGCCACUGCGAAACUCCAAGCUCAAGAUGCCAAGAAGUGGAACAAUGACCUCGCCUUCUUGAUGGGCGGCGCUGACAUGCUCCAGAGCGGCGAUGAGAAGCUCAAGGCGUGGUUCUUGGCCCAGCGCGGUGUAACAGCCUGGAUUUUGGCCCUUUUCUUUUUCUUUGGAUUUAUUUGGUUUUUGCUCUGUUUUUCUUUUUGGAGUGGUUCAGUUGCCUUGCCACCUGGGAAAUCAUCCUCAUUCCUCUUCCCAAGUGGCUCAUCAUUCUCAAAACCUUGCAUCGUGUCACUUCACUCCUUGACCAAACCCUGA